GCCUUGGCUGGUCUAGCGGUAAGACGCUCAGGUGUUGGUUGUGGGCAGCAGCCUCGAGAGAGGGGGGUUCGACUCCUCCGCCAAGCA